AUUGAACGCUGGCGGAAUGCUUUACACAUGCAAGUCGGGCGGCAGCGCGGGGGCAACCCUGGCGGCGAGCGGCGAACGGGUGAGUAACACAUCGGAACGUACCCUGUCGUGGGGGAUAACGAAUCGAAAGAUUCGCUAAUACCGCAUACGACCUGAGGGUGAAAGCGGGGGAUCGCAAGACCUCGCGCGAGAGGAGCGGCCGAUGGCGGAUUAGCUAGUUGGUGGGGUAAAGGCCUACCAAGGCGAUGAUCGGUAGCUGGUCUGAGAGGAUGAUCAGCCACACGGGAACUGAGACACGGUCCCGACUCCUACGGGGGGGCAGCAGUGAGGAAUAUUGCACAAUGGGGGAAACCCUGAUGCAGCAACGCCGCGUGGAGGAUUGAAGAUCCUUGGAUUGUAAACUCCUUUUGUACAGAACGAAAAAGCUCUUUCUAAUACAGAGAGUCCAUGACGGUACUGUAAGAAUAAGCACCGGCUAACUACGUGCCAGCAGCCGCGGUAAU
rnacentral:rRNA from 1 species